UGAGGUGGAGUGUCUGGCGGAGAGUCAUCAGCACCUGUCCAAGGAGUCCAUGGCAGGAAACAAGCCAGCUAAUGCAGUCCUGCACAAAGUUCUGAAACAGCUAGAAGAACUGCUGAGUGACAUGAAAGCUGAUGUGACUCGACUCCCAGCCACUAUUGCCCGAAUCCCCCCAGUUGCUGUGAGGCUACAGAUGUCAGAGCGUAAUAUUCUCAGUCGCCUGGCAAACCGGGCACCUGAACCACCUCCACAGCAGGUAGCCCAGCAGCAGUGAAGACCCAGAUGGAAAAUACCACCUCCACCGCUGAGCAGUGACCUUCCUCACUUUCCCUUGCCCAGAUUCUCCCCUGGGGGCCCGAGAGACCCUCUCCUUCCUUCUGCCCCAUCUUCUAAGUUGUAGAGGAACAGCCCCCUGAGCACUAGGGGAGGGGAGGGAGUGAGGGGCAGUGGUGCCCUUCCUGCUGGAGAGACGUGCAGCAGUAGCGCCGGGGCCAUCUGCAGGGAGCUGGCGGGCUGGCCUUCUGGGCCCUGGCUUCUCCCCACUGUAACACCGUCUGUUACACACGAACUGUUGUGGGUUCCCGCCAGGCUUGAAGAAAAUGAUCUGAAUUUCUUCCUCCUUCCGGUUUUAUUUUGUUGGUUGAUUUUGUGUUUUGUUUUCUCCUUUUUGGGGGGUAUUCACAGUGGGCCGGGCCCCUGGGCGAGACACAGCUACCUCUGUUGGCAUCUUUUUAAUACCAGGAACCCAGUGGCUCCAGCCCCUGAGCGGCUAGAAUGAAAUAAAGUGGAAAAA